GGUGAACGCUGGCGGUGGGCCUAACACAUGCAAGUCGAACGGCAGCACAGUAAGAGCUUGCUCUUACGGGUGGCGAGUGGCGGGCGGGUGAGGAAUACAUCGGAAUCUACUUUUUCGGGGGGGAUAACGUAGGGAAACUUACGCUAAUACCGCAUACGACCUACGGGUGAAAGCAGGGGAUCUUCGGACCUUGCGCGACUGAAUGAGCCGAUGUCGGAUUAGCUAGUUGGCGGGGUAAAGGCCCACCAAGGCGACGAUCCGUAGCUGGUCUGAGAGGAUGAUCGGCCACACUGGAACUGAGACACGGUCCAGACUCCUACGGGAGGCAGCAGUGGGGAAUAUUGGACAAUGGGCGCAAGCCUGAUCCAGCCAUACCGCGUGGGUGAAGAAGGCCUUCGGGUUGUAAAGCCCUUUUGUUGGGAAAGAAAAGCAGCAGGUUAAUACCCCGCUGUUUUGACGGUACCCAAAGAAUAAGCACCGGCUAACUUCGUG
rnacentral:rRNA from 1 species